UUGGAAGAAAAGCUAUGAUGAACCUAGAUAGCAUAUUAAAAAGCAAAGACAUCACUUUGCCAACAAACAUCUGUAUAGUCAGACUACAGUUUUUCCAAUAGUAGUGUACGGAUGUGAGAGCUGGACCAUAAAGUAGGCUGAGCACUGAGGAUUGAUGCUUUUGAAUUGUGGAGUUGGAGAAGGCUUUUGAGAGUCCCUUGGACAGCAAGGAAAUCAAACCUGUCAAUCAUUAAGGAAACCACCCUGAAUAUUUAUUGGAAUGAUUGAUGCUGAAGCUGAAUCAGGAUUGAUGCUGAAUACCCUUUGGAAGCCACCUGAUGUGAAAAGCCAACUCACUGGAAAAGACCCUGAUGCUGGGAAAGACUGAGGGCAAGAUAAGUUUCUCUUAUAGGUCAUUCCUGAGUAUUAAGUAGAGCCACCUGUACUAAAUAGUAGUUUUAUUAUUUAUUUUUUAUGUUGUAGUGUUAUAUGUCUAUCUCAAUCUCCCAAUUUAAUUCAAAGCGAUACAUACACCCCAAUGCUCAUUGCAACACUAUUUAUAAUACAACAACAACUAGGACAUGGAAACAACCUAAAUGUCAAUUAACAGAUGAGUGGACAGGGAAGAUGUGGUACAUUUAUGCAAUGGAGUAUUACUCUGCCAGAAAAAGAAUGAAAUAAUACCAUUUGUUGCAACAUGGAUGGACCUGGAGAUUGUCACACUCAGUAAAAUUACCACUGUGGCAGAAAACUUAAGAUUAAAUGCCAAACAAACAAGCAAACAAACAAGGAAAAUAACUAGAAUGCUAAUAGUAAUUUGAAGACAUCUAACUUGUAAGUCAUGCAUAUUUUUCCCCUGAGAGUGAUUUUGAAAAGAGUUACUAUUUACAUGGCCAUUUAUUCACAGAUUAUAAGUUAAUACCACAGCAGGGAAAAGCUCUAUGUUUCACUACAUCAAAUAGAUUGAUAUUAAACAAAACAAAUAUGAAGUCUUCCAGCAUGGGCUAAGUUAACUCAAUGAAAACAUUUCUUUGUUGAAGAAAUGAUCCUUCAGUAGAAUUGUUUAUUUUUGUAAUUACAG
ensembl:lncRNA